rnacentral:rRNA from 1 species
GAUGAACGCUGGCGGCGUGCUUAACACAUGCAAGUCGAACGAAGCACUUUAUUUGAUUUCCUUCGGGACUGAUUAUUUUGUGACUGAGUGGCGGACGGGUGAGUAACGCGUGGGUAACCUGCCUUGUACAGGGGGAUAACAGUUGGAAACGGCUGCUAAUACCGCAUAAGCGCACAGCAUCGCAUGAUGCAGUGUGAAAACCUCCGGUGGUAUAAGAUGGACCCGCGUUGGAUUAGCUGGUUGGUGAGGUAACGGCCCACCAUGGCGACGAUCCAUAGCCGGCCAGAGAGGGAGACCGGACACACUGGGACUGAGACACGGCCCAAACUCCUCCGGGAGGCAGGAGUGGGGAAUAUUGCACAAUGGGCGAAAGCCUGAUGCAGCGACGCCGCGUGAGCGAAGAAGUAUUUCGGUAUGUAAAGCUCUAUCAGCAGGGAAGAUAAUGACGGUACCUGACGAAGAAGCACCGGCUAAAUACGUG